ensembl:piRNA 21ur-13871 ncRNA
UUUUCCUUUCUGUGCUUAACA